ACACACACACAAGCACUUUGUUGUUGAACUACACAGUGUAAUACCUAGAAAGUUUAACAUGACAGUAUCAUUGCUAAGGUCUUUUUUUUCCAAGGAAUUCCAGCUAAUAGUUCUCCAGGUGUCCCAUUUUCUUUCAUAAUGACAGACUUCUUUUUUUACCUGUUGAAAACGUAAGGCCUGGAAAUGCUAAAUGACUCGUGGGUCACCUAGUUUACAGAAGAGCCAGAAUUUGGCUGCAGGUCUCCUGAACCACAUGGAGCAGACCAGCUCUGGGAUUUGUUAGUGUCUCUGAGACGCUCCUGCAUGUUGAUAAGCUCGCCGGGUGACUGGGACACACACUCAAGUUAGAGAACCACUGCUUUACAUGGUGUCUCUUUUACUAAAUAGCCACAGGGCUAUUACUCCUGAAAAAAUUAAUGAUUUUGUAGUAUCAUCAGAUAUUCCAGUUAACACUCGCAUUUCCUUAUUUUUUUGUUUUUGUUUUUUAGUUUCUUUGAAUCAAAAUUCAAAUAAGAUCUCUACAUUCCAUUGGAAGGAGUCAUUUCUCUUGUUUACCAUUCUAUCACCAGCAUCUAUUCCAGUGCCUGGCAUGCAGUAGGUGCUCAGUUAUACUCACUGGCUGGAUCAAUGGAUGCACCCUCCCAGGCAAGGAACUCAUUGUGCUGGAAAAGCAACACUGAGAUGAAGCUGGACAGGCACAGAGUUCCUAAAC